AGGGAGAGGAGAGAGCUCAGCCGCUGCUUCCCUGCCGGGGCUUCUCAGCGGCCCCCGGGGGGCAGCUCCGUCUCUGGGGCGGCGGCGGUGGGGGGAAGGGGAGCAUCCCCGGCCCGGAUUUAGACCCACAAAGGCCGCGUUGCAAAGUCGCCGCCUGCGCUUCCUCGGCCGCCUUUCGGCCGGUCGGUGGCGGCUUGCAAAAGCGGGUGCAGCAGCCGGCUGGCUGCCUCCGGCUCGGCUGCCCGAUUGGCAUGAUGUUUCCGCAAAGCCGGCACUCGGCCUCUUCUCAUCUGCCUCAGCAGUUGAAGUUCACAACUUCCGAUUCCUGCGACCGGAUUAAAGAUGAGUUCCAGUUGCUGCAGGCACAGUAUCACAGCCUGAAGUUGGAAUGCGACAAGCUGGCCAGCGAAAAGUCGGAGAUGCAGCGCCAUUACGUGAUGUAUUACGAGAUGUCCUAUGGCCUCAACAUCGAAAUGCAUAAGCAGGCUGAAAUUGUCAAGCGGCUGAAUGGCAUUUGCGCCCAGGUUUUGCCAUAUCUGUCGCAAGAGCACCAACAGCAGGUCCUGGGAGCCAUUGAGCGUGCCAAACAAGUGACAGCCCCUGAACUGAAUUCCAUCAUCCGGCAGCAACUCCAAGCCCACCAGCUCUCUCAGCUUCAGGCACUGGCCUUGCCCCUCACCCCGCUCUCCGUGGGCUUGCAGGCCCCCUCCCUGCCCGCCGUGAGCGCCAGCACCGGCCUGCUCUCCCUCUCGGCGCUGGGCUCCCAGGCCCACCUCUGCAAGGAAGACAAGAACGGCCACGACGGAGACGCCCACCAAGAAGACGAUGGGGAAAAAUCCGACUAGGUGGAUCUCAUCCAGUCAGGGGGGAGGGGCGGUGGGCAGCGUGGGGCGAUACUUGGUGUUGGGGGGGGGGGGGGGCAGAAGACGCCGCAUUUAAUCCAAUUCCGGGGCUGGCGGGUAAACCACAGUUCUUCAGUGGGGCACGAGGGGCGAGAUAAAAUUGCAGCAAUAACACUUUAGCUCCCUCCUUUUCCUGCCCCUCUUCCAUUCCAGCCCCAUAGCAGGCAGGAACGGUUCCCCAAGCAAUUGAGGGGCCUUUGCGUACAUGUUGAGGGGUCAGGUGGGGAAGGGGGUUGGACCUCCCCCCUUUCUAUCUCCCCUUCCCCCCUUUAAAUUAAUUCCAAAGGGUUAAGCCAGCAUCAGAAUAUCCACGAUGCUUUCUUAAACUUGGUUACUCCUCCACAUCCAUCCAUCCUUUCCCAGGUGUUUUCGCAAGGACUUGCUUGGGCCGUUGGACAAGAAACUAACAAACUGGGUUAGUUAUCCAAGGGGAAGGAAGGAUGUGGGUUUGCCCGAUCCUAGAUUUGUGGGGAAACCAGAGAUCCUGGGAAAAUCCCCUCCCCCCAAAAUCACCCAGCUGGAAGAUUUUCAGCCACAGGCCAGUCACUGGCACCCUCCCAGCCUGUAUAUCUCAACCUCGGCCACUUUAAGAUUGGACUUCAACUCCCAGAAUCCCUCAGCCUCACUUUACUAAAUCAUGACCUAGGUGGAUAGUGUGGUUUUGUACAGGUUGUCCUCGACCAAUGGACCCAAUUUCCCUUUGCUAAGCAAGGCGGUGUGAAGUGACUCGCACCCGAUUGGAUGAGCUUUUUUUUUUUUCUUUGCCCCGCAGCUGCUAAGCCAAUCACCGCUGGAGGGGUGGGGGAAUGCUGGGAGUUGAAGUCCGCACAUCUUAAAAUGGCCACCGUUGAAAAACAGAGAAAAAGAAAACCCAUCAUUCUGACAUUCCCUAUCUGAUUUGAGCUCCCUGGCACGGCGGUACCUCAGUUUUGUGCUCAUGGAGGGCUGCCCUCUCCCAGUGGGCAAGGCCAGACCCCGUUGGGAGAGGGCACGCCGACAGGGUGAGAGACAAAAUGGGUUGGCAAACUUUCUGAAACCCACCAACCUCUUAAAAAUGCCCCCAAAUGGAGAGAAAUGGCUGAAAUGCAAAGAACAAAAGUCCCCCACCUGAGGAGAUGCUGGCAUGUUGACCCCAGGCUCCCCCCUCCCCAAUUUCUGUUCCCCAAUCAUCAGGUAGUCCUCGAAUUACAACAGUUCAUUUAGCGACCGUUUGAAGUUAACAACAGCACUGAAAAAAGCGACGAUUUUUCACACUUUACCACUGUUGCAGCAUUCCCCCACGGUCACGUGAUCAAAAUUCUGACACUUGACAACUGAUUCAUAUUUAUGACUGUUGCAGUGUCCCAGGAUCAGCUUUUGUGACCUUCUGGCAAGCAAAAGUCAAUGGGGAAGCCAGAUUCACUUCACCACCAUAUGAAUAACUUAACAACUGCAACAAUUCGCUUAACAUCUGUGGCUAGAAAGGUCGUAAAAAUGGGGCAAACCUCAUGUAACAAAUGUCUGACUUAACAACAGAAAUUUUGGGCUCCAUUGCAGUCGUAAGUCGAGGACUACCUGUCUUCUAGCGGAGGUCCCAGCUCACUCUCCCAACCAACAGCACAAUUUCCCCGUAUGGAUUACACCCGCCCCCACCUCUCCGUAAUCCCCCUCCCUUCCAAAAAAAUUCCUAGAUCCAGCAAACUCGCCCUUACUUGCAAGUCGUCAGCAGCUGCGUUCAGCCAGGAAACUCAUUACAGCUACUCCUCAACUUACCACUGUUCAUUUAGUGACCAAAGUGGCAACGGCAUGACUUAACCAGCCCUCCCACUCAUACGGCCAUCGCAGCCAUCCCUGUGGUCACGCGAUCAGAAUCGCCGGACGCUGUGGCACCUGGCGUGUAUUUAUGAAGUUUGCAGCGUCCCUGGGAUCAUGCGAUCCCCAUUCGCGACCUUCCCAGCUGGUUUCCAAGAAGCAAAGCCAAUAAGGAAAGCUGGAUUUGCUUUAACAACCGUACAAUUCACUUAACUAACCCUGCGGUGAUUUGCUUAACAACCACGGCAAACGGGUAAUAACAUAGGGUGUGACUUCCUUAACUGCUGUCGUGCUUAGCUGUGGAAAUUCUGUUCUCAAUUGUGGCCAUAAGUCGAGGACUACCUGCGCUCAAAGCAAAUAGGAAUAAACCUCUUCAAGACUGUCCCGCACUGCAGGGUUGUCUGUUUGAUUUUGGGCGGUCAUAUAAGCAGCUAGAUAAGAAUGGAUAAUGCGUCCCACCGAUGAUUUCCUUGAAAAGCAAGCCAGAUUGACUCCUUGGGGGGGUUGCAAGGGUUCUGGCUGGGGCCGACCCUGUCAGACUACCUCCGCAUUGGAUAAUUUGCAAACCGCCAGAUCCCACUGGACUCCACGUCGGUAGUUUUAAUUUGCUUUUUUUUUUUUCCCCCUCCUUGGCGGCACUUAGCUCACAUCUGCCGAUGGGGGCUCCUUCUCUGCAGAACUUUGUUUUAAAUUGAUCCAUAUCGCCACUGACCCCUCCCCCAACACUCACAAGCAGUAUCUGGGCUUUGCGAAGCCCCCCCCUUCCUCCCCAACCCCACGCCCCGCUCGACUCCUCUCUCGCUGGCCCUCCCUCUGCUCCCACCAGCACUGUUUUAGCUAAGCAAGCACCUUUGUCAUUAUGCAUGUCUCGUUUUUAAGGUAGCACAGAAGCAAAAAUUUUAUAUAUAUACAUAUAUAUAUAAAUAUAUAUAAAUAUAUAAAUAUAUUAGUUGGGUAAUCUCUGCCUCUGGGUGAACCUCUCAAUGGUGUGUUGUUUUUUUAACCUGCCUUGCUGUUUCCUUUCCCUAACCUUUUUUUUUCCGGGUUUAAAAAAAAGCUGGAAUUUGGAAAUUUUAUCUUGAAACGAUGGCUCAACUUCCUUUUUUCAGCCGGAUGGUUUGAAAUUCAGGGGGUUGAGGGGUGGUGGGUGUGGAAAAGGAUGUGAAGGGGAAGGGGGGGCUCCUGGACGCCCCUUCCCAUUUCUUAAAACAAAAACAUCCCAAGGAUCCUGCAGCUGUUCUAUCUUUCCGUAAUGCUAGUUCUCGACUUUUUUUCCCCCCCUCUCAAUUCCCCAAAUAAAUUUUACGACAAAGAGAAUUUUUUCGUGUUUGUAUAUAUUCCUUUAGAGACAGAGAAGAGAGAGAAAAAUCUUGUUGGCUCCGUGUGUUUAUUAAUCACUUGACCCUAUAUUAAGAGGAACUGAGACAAAAAUUCUGUAUUGAAAAUGUAAUAGCUGUGCCUUUUCAAAUAAAGAAAUCAGAUUGUUGGUUAAA